GAGGGAGCGAGCGUUAAUCGGAAUUACUGGGCGUAAAGCGCGCGUAGGCGGCUUUGUAAGUCGGAUGUGAAAGCCCUGGGCUCAACCUGGGAAUUGCAUUCGAUACUGCAUGGCUAGAGUAUGGUAGAGGGAAGUGGAAUUCCGGGUGUAGCGGUGAAAUGCGUAGAUAUCCGGAGGAACACCAGUGGCGAAGGCGACUUCCUGGGCCAAUACUGACGCUGAGGUGCGAAAGCGUGGGGAGCAGACAGGAUUAGAUACCCUGGUAGUCCACGCCGUAAACGAUGAGAACUAGAUGUCGGGGGAAUUUGUCCUUCGGUGUCGCAGCUAACGCGUUAAGUUCUCCGCCUGGGGAGUACGCCGGCAACGGUAAAACUCAAAGGAAUUGACGGGGACCCGCACAAGCGGUGGAGCAUGUGGUUUAAUUCGAUGCAACGCGAAGAACCUUACCUGCCCUUGACAUUGACAGAAUCCCGUAGAGAUAUGGGAGUGCUUCGGCCUGGAAAACAGGUGCUGCAUGGCUGUCGUCAGCUCGUGUCGUGAGAUGUUGGGUUAAGUCCCGCAACGAGCGCAACCCUUGUCCUUAGUUGCCAGCACGUAAUGGUGGGAACUCUAGGGAGACUGCCGGUGACAAACCGGAGGGAGGUGGGGACGACGUCAAGUCAUCAUGGCCCUUAUGGGCAGGGCUACACACGUGCUACAAUGGCGAAUACAGAGGGUUGCCAACCAGCAAUGGUGCGCUAAUCCCUUAAAGCUCGUCGUAGUCCGGAUUGGAGUCUGCAACUCGACUCCAUGAAGUCGGAAUCGCUAGUAAUCGCGAAUCAGAGUGUCGCGGUGAAUACGUUCCCGGGUCUUGUACACACCGCCCGUCACACCAUGGAAGUAGGUUGCACCAGAAGUAGGUAGUCUAACCCUCGGGAGGACGCUUACCACGGUGUGGCUUAUGACUGGGGUGAAGUCGUAACAAGGUAGCCGUACGGGAACGUGCGGCUGGAUCACCUCCUUUAAAGAGUAAAAAAAGUAAGAUCGCCUUUUCAAAUGAAGGCGCAAGCCCCUUCACAAGUUAUCUGAUGAAUGCAACAGCCCUGGACAACGGUUAGUUAACUGUUCAGGAACAGCGAAACUUUGGGUCUGUAGCUCAGUUGGUUAGAGCGCACCCCUGAUAAGGGUGAGGUCGGAAGUUCAAAUCUUCCCAGACCCACCAAUAUUUGGGGCCAUAGCUCAGAUGGGAGAGCGCCUGCCUUGCACGCAGGAGGUCGGCGGUUCGAUCCCGCCUGGCUCCACCAACUUCGCCUAAGUGCUGUUGCACCAGAACGCAGUUUUCGUUGCGUCGAAUUUCGACGUAGCACUGCUCUUUAACAAUUUGGAUAAAGUUUUUGAUGUCUUAAAGUGGGUAAGCACGCAAGUGCUUAUUUAUUUCAAGUGUCGCAUUUGCAUAGUUAUUGAACAUAGUUUGGCUUGCACAGCCGAAUCGAUGCGCAAGGGAUCUACGAGCACAAAAGGAACGUAGUGAAGAUGUGAGUCGCCUGAGAAUGUUUUGGGUUAUAUGGUCAAGUGACUAAGCGCACAUGGUGGAUGCCUAGGCAGUAAGAGGCGAUGAAGGACGUAGUAGUCUGCGAUAAGCCCCGGUUAGCUGACAAACAAGCUUACCCGGGGAUUU
rnacentral:sRNA from 1 species